rnacentral:misc_RNA from 1 species
UGGGUGAGUCGAUGCAGCGGUAAUUUGCUAUGAUCACUGUCGCCGUCGUCUUCGUGGUUUAGCGCGCGUGCGUGCAACGCUUGGAAGUGUUUUGUUGCUGUGUGCGAGAGUGUUUUCCACAAUUAGAAAUAACGGUGCGAAGGUGAAACUGGAAAGUCAGCGAAGCGCGUUCAUUUCAAGUGCAUCUUCAGAUUGAUAUUUUGCAAUUAGCUUAAUUUUUUGAUAUACGAAGAGUUUUCUUACCUGUUCAGCCAAACAACAACAACAACCAAUAACAGCAACAGCAAAGUUUUCAAUAUUGAAAAUAUUCAUGUGGCCAGGCAAAGUUCAUAGCCGGUUUAGUCAUACGCGAAAUUCUGAGAAUUCUACAAGUGGAUUUGAUCUAACAGUUAAGUGUGCGCGAACGUGUGUGUGCAUGUCUGCCUGUGGCUGUGUGUGUAUGUUUGUAUUUAUGUAUAACAGCUGUUGCACUGCACCUAAAGUCUAAAUUGCGUACUUAUUAGGUAUUUGCUCUGCUCUGCAUAGCAGCAGCAGAUAAGAUAGAAACCAAAGACGUUUUGCACAGUGUAAAACUCUUAUAUUUGCGCCCGCGUGUGUGUGUGAGUGUCUACAUGUGUGUGUUUAUCUUAUCGGUAGACCAUUGAUUGAAGUAGCUUUUUGCUUUUGGCUAAAGCAAUGCCGGGUGAAGUCAUUUGCGCAGCGACUAAGCGAAAGAGUCUAUGGACAGCUAGAUAGGAUAUCUAAGCACCUAUAAAACACCCAAAAGCAGCCAAAAGAAAAAAAGAGAAGAAUAGAAAGAGAGAAUAAAACCAGCCACGCAAUCUUUGGCUAAAUUUGGACACAGACCAAAUACCAAACAAGGCAUUGCGAACAUAAAUCAACUGCAACAGGAGCAGCAGCACCAGCAGCAGCAGUAGCCAAGAUGGAAUCCGAUUCGGACACCUGGGAGGACUUUUUUGGCAGCAGCACAGAGCUAGCCCAUUCGCUGUUGGGCUUUUAUGACACGCUGACAAACACCUUGAGCGCUGGUCCAACGGCAACAAAGGCUGACAGCAGUGAGAGCAGCCAGAGCAGCGGUGAGUCAACGCCAAAGCGCAGCAAUAGCAAUUGCAGCACCACCAGCAGCACCACCAGCAACAACAGCAACAACAGCAGCGACAACCAUUCGGGCAGCUAUAGUUUGGAUGGUGGAGCACAAACGCCGCUGGUGGUUGCCGGCCUGCGUGACGAUGUAGCGGAUGGCGUGCAGCUGAGUCGAUUGGUGGUGCAACGGCGUCAGGAGCUGGGCAGCAAUCACAGCAUCUCAUCCACAGCAUCCAGCAAUCAUUCGCGGCGCGGCAACAAUAUUCGCGUGCUCUCGCCCAAUGUUCAGCGGAUUAUUACACACGCAGAUGCGGAGCCCGUGAACGCCAUCGACAUCGAAGCCAUCCAGCAGCAGCAGCAGCAGCAGCAGACCCACUCACUGCCCGGUCAGCGCAGCCCCACGCCCUUGCGUUAUGCAAAGGCCGCAACCACAGCACCACCCAAACUGAAGCUAUCGCAUCUGCCGCUCUCCAAGACAACGGGCAAGCUAUCCACACAAUCGGGCAGCGACCUGGUGUCCACCUUGGAUGCGGGCAGCGACUACGUCGGUGGUGCGCACAGAAAGGCCAGCUCAUCCGCGGAUGAGGACAAGACACCCACCAACAAGGCAGCGCCCGGCACACCCUUUCACUUCGGGGGCAAUCCGUUCUCCAAGCUAAAGCUGCAGAGCAUCAAAUUAAGCGAAAUGGAGCAGCUGGCGGUGACGAGCAGGCAGCUAGCUACAGCACCACCACCAACACCACCAGCAGCACAAGCACCAGCACCAGCUCCAAGUGCAGCCAGUACGCCGGUGGCACCGCCCAGACACAAGGCCUUUGUGGUGGCCAGUGAGCCGCUCAGCCCAGAGCCGUUUGUGGACGCGAUCAACUUUGACCUGGUUGCCCAGCACAUCGAGAAGCUGACAUUGAGCGACCUGGAUCUGGGCGAGGGGGAAGAGGCGGCCGAGCAGCUGGUGGAGGCCAUCAACAAGCCGCUGAUUGGCAAGCCACUGGUGCGCAGCGUCUCGGCACCGCGCGCCAGCCAGUGUGGCUCCGCCGGGCCGGGCUCCCCGCUGCAGACGUAUGCGCGCACCAAGCUGAAGAGCCAGAGUGGCAAGGCGAGCACCUUGGGUGGCGGCAUGCCACUGCGGCUGCCCACGGCCGAGCAGCUGGCUGAGCUGGAGGAGGCCAACAAGCUGUCGGCCGAGAGUCUGGACACGUUGACGGACAUCAAGCCGAAGUAUCCGCCGCGCUUGAGCGAGCUGACGCGCCUCAACAAUCGUCCGCUGUCCUCCUCCUCCAUUUGCUCCACGUCGUCCAGCUCCAGUUCGGGCUCGGACCAGCUGCUCAAUGGCAAGCUGGCUGCCACCUCCUAUUUGGCCAGUGUUGAGAGUUUGGCCGAGAGCGAGAACGAGCUGGGCGACCAUCAUCAUCAUCAUCAUCCCUCGCAUACGAAUCCCAUGACCGUGCUGGAACGCGCCUGCCUGGAAAUUGUGGACUCGGAGCGGAGCUUUGUCGAAGAUCUGGGUCAGGUUAUCAAAGGCUACCUUCUGGACUGGAAGGAGCGCGCCUGUCUGCGCACCGACGAAUUGCAAAUACUCUUUGCCAACAUUGAAGAGAUUUACGAAUUCAAUUCGUUGCUGCUGCAGCAGCUCAUCAACUCGGGCAUGGAUCCGGGACGAAUAGCGAAAUGUUUCAUUGACCUACGCGAUCGCUUUAAUGUGUACACAACCUAUUGCACAAGCUACCCGGAAGCCAUCUCGCUGUUGACAAAACUGCUGCAGGCGAAGCAUACGAAUACGUUGCUGGCCUCCACGCAGACGCUGCUGCAGCAUCGCCUGCCCCUUGGCUCCUAUUUGCUGAAACCGGUGCAACGCAUACUCAAGUACCAUCUGCUGCUGGACAGCCUGCGCAAGCACUGCGAUGUGAAGGAGGUAGCUGAGGCGUAUGCCAUAAUGCGACAGGUAGCGCAUCACAUCGACCAGGUGAAGCGUCAGCAGGAGCAGCAGAGUCGUGUCAAGGAGCUGUCCGGCAUACUCGACGGCUGGAUGGGACCAGAUCUGAGCGUGCUGCGAGAACUGAGGCACGAGGGCUUGCUCAUGGAGCAGCACAACAAGCCGCGUCAGGUGCUCCUCUUCGAGACGAUGCUGAUCAUUACCAAGCAGAAGGAGGACGGUCGUCUGCAGUUCAAGAGCCUCAUAACCCAAAAAAAUCUAAUGCUGAGCGAGCAUUUGCCCGGCGAGCCGACCAGCUUCUAUGUCAUACCCUUCGAUGACCCGCGCAAUCAAAUCAAGUUGACGGCCAGAAAUCGUGACCAGAAGCGCAUCUGGACGCAGCACAUCAAAGAUGUGAUGCUCCAGGAGCUGGAUAUACCCACUCGUGCCAAGGAGCUCGUCUACCAGCUGGGCAACGAGGAAGUACUACCAGUGACGCAAUUUAAAACUAAACCACCCAAACCAAACAAGAAAAGAAAACUUUAACUAGUUUCUAAGGCGUUCCCUAAGGCUAAACACCAGAGACUGAACUACUUUCUUCCAUAACCCCAGCCCCCAAAAAAAAAAAACAAAAUAAAACAAACAACUAAAAUUUAAUUAAAGUACAAUUUUUAGUAAAUUAACUUAACUGUUAACUGCCAAUUGUUAUCGUUAAACUCUGUAAUCGUAUCGUAAUCGUAAUCGUAAUUAGUUAAAUAAUUUGCUGGUAUUUGCGGCGCGCAGACGUAGUCUUAUUAAUCCGAUAUAUCCGAUCGCUGCCUAAUCGCACGCCCGAUCGCAGCACCUGGAAGUGGAGCCUGAACUCGAGCAGCAACUCGACGCCGACGUAUUUGGAGCGGCGCAACGCU